rnacentral:lncRNA from 1 species
CACAUCACAACAACCAGUUUAACCUACAAAUGUUGCAUGCCCAGGAACAUAAAACUUCACGUACAUAACCAUACAAUAUUCCACACAAUCACAAAUAUUGCAAUUGAAAAAUAAAACGCUCUGCCAAGUUAAAGCUAUCUACUCUUGGAUACCACGGAACAUGCUCUUCAACAUAGGAAGAAGUCAUCAACGGUGUUCUACCAACAACACAAGCUCCAUUCACCUACAAGAACAGAAUGGAAUAUCAAGUACUUGGAUCGUUCAAGCAGAUUACAACCAACAUAUAUAUGUAGAAGUACAUCAAGAAAUAUGAUGGAGCAAGCGGACAACAAAUACAUUAAGUAAACAGCCCAACCGAUGAGUGAUGACGACAUGCAAAGAGUAUAAACCCAGGUUUGGACAUAAAUAGUGUCAACUCAAGCAGAACAUAAUAAGGCAGUAAACUCAAGCAGAACAUAAUUAAGUACAAUGAAAGGGACCAUCCAAUUAAAUUCCAUUCUUAUCUUCUUCAGUAAGGACAGGCAAAACAUCCCAUUUCUAGUAUUAUGUCUGAAAAAUCACUAGUGCUAUGUCUAAAAAAUCACUAGUAUUAUGUCUGAAAAAUCACUAGCUAGCACGCUGCGUUACUAGUCUGCCAAUUAUCCAUUUCUAGUGAAUUAUGUCCGAAAAAUGCAAUGGAACCGAAACGAAUUCAGGCAACACAACACGUAGAGCCACUGAAGAAAUGAAAUUGCGCAGGCGGUUCAGGAUAUAAUGACUCGCCCAGGCUCAUGAUACAAUGACUCGCACAUGGCUUGCAAGGCCAAAUAAGGAUAUUGACCCAUUAGGAAAAAGCACAAAAGUAUUGCCUACAUGGAUGUUUUAGUAUAACCAUGUACAUGCCGUGUACUGCAGCGUGAUGUCUCUAAUAUGGUUGUAUUCAUGUAAAUAGUACCCAGGAAAAAUAAUGUUAGAUAGGAUUUUUGUCAUUAGCCUGUACUUGUGAAAAUUGUAGACCAAAAGAUAUGUUUGCAUGGCUAAUAUUCUAGCAUAUACAGUACUUAAAUCUAUAGAUUUACCAUCCCUUUCAUAGUUAUAGCAUAUAAUAGAAAUCCAGCAACAUAAGUAAGCACAUAUCAUAAAUAAGUACUAGUUCUAUUGAAUUACAGAGAAAGAAAGAGAGUGAAAUAGAUAGGGAGAGAGAGCAGCAGCAGCAGUAGGGGGUUCAGACUUUAGAGAAGACCAGCAGCGAGGUUAGGAGAAGAAGAAGCAAGCGUGGGGAUGGAGAGAGGAGUAGCAGCGAGCAGCAAGAAACAUGUUCAGAGAAGAAGUGCAGCAGCAGGUUUAGUGGAUUCAGAGAAGAGGCAAGCAGCAGGAGGUGCAGAAAUAGAGGAGCAACAACAUGGUUAGCAGUAGCAGCGUGGGGACUUAGAGAGAGCAACAACUGUUUGAUGAUAUGCAGCAAAUCAAAUGAUUUUCCAUCGCAAUAUUCUGCAUACGACAACAACAACAUCAAUCAGUAAAAUUAGUAGCAUCUCGAUCACUGUAUAAUCAAUCAGUAGGCACAAAUAAAAUCAGCAAGCAUAGUAUAAAUCUGGUGCCCCAAAAGGCUAGCGAUGCAAAUAACAAAUCAAGUUCGUGGCUAACUUGUAAUUCUGGGAAAAAUGUAACGCAGUGAUGGCUCACAAUGAUGGCUUUGACAUAGCAGAGAGCAAACUAAAUAAAAAUAGCUUAGUUCACCCACUUGAAUAGAAUAACAACUCAUGUAAACGUUUAAUCAAAACAUCAUGCUUUGGUUUCAGUCAAGGUUUAAUCAAAUCAGCACAUACAAAACUGAACCAAGACCUGAUUUGUUUCAUACAAAACUGAACAUCAUAUUCUCCUGCCAUCCAAGCCACAACCCAGGUUCACAAUGGCUGCUCCUACACGUCUACGCAAGUACAUUACAUGUUAACUGAAGUAGAUCUCUAAAGCUGAGCGGCUGACCGACCAGUGGUUGUUGGGGCCUUCAAGCCAAAGCCUGCUGUUGCUACCAGGAGAAGACUCCAACAAGUCACAACCGACGGUGACCUUGCUCGGCUCAACCCAACAAGAUUCAGCUCAGCUUGCGACAGCCAAAAAAAGAGCAGAACGGUCGAGAUCCACAGACCAGAGCAGUCGAGAAUGAGAGAGGUAAGUCAGACUCUCUGGCCAUGUACCCAGAAAUAACCUAUCAAGUGCACAUGUACCCAGACUAAGGAUCUGGGGCGGAUCGAGCAGAGAGGACGGGGGAGCUCAUCUCGCGGCGGAGCGUGUGGUCGAAGGAGCAGCGGGCGAGGUUGGGGCGAGGCCAUAGUGGCCGGAGACGGAGGCUAACCACGCCUGUUCGAAGGAGCGUGUGAUCUCCGUCAUUGCAGCUUCUAGGAUAAUAAUAGACCAAAUUAACUAGAGAUGUACAAAUGUCCAAGCAUCUUUUAUUUAGGAUCAAAUUAAAUAAAGUUCCACCAAUGUCCAAGCAUCUUUUAUUUAGGAUCAAAUUAAGCUCCACAGAGAUGUACAAAUACAAUAUAUAUGAGACUAUAAAGCAUGCAUGAGACUGAGACCAGAUGUAACACAGAAGACAGAAAGUGUGCAAGAUACUCUUGUCAAGUGUAACUUAUGCCAGGUCUGAAUUGCCAUAUAUGCAUUAUUAAUUUGAAUGAGUCAAAUGGAACAUUCUACUAGUAGUGUGUAAGAGCAUGCUAACCAGAUCGACUUAGCCUAGUCAGAGAAAUACUAGCUAGGACUAGCCCCUUGCAAACAUACCCGGAAAAUGCUGGGAACAACAAUACUAGUGACACAUGUGCAAGACGUGCGGCAGCUAACCUAACAAAACCGCGUGUGCAGAAGCACUCCCAACAAAGAGAUCCAUGGAAGCUCAGGAGCUUGAUUAAUCAGCAACCAACUGAAUGGAACCGAGCAAAGAAAACCAUGGCCAAAUCAUACGAGCAUGUGACGCGAUCGAGGUGAAAUUGCAGCAUACAGAUUAAGAGGCUCCUGAUUCCAACACCUAAAUAAACCCUAAAUCCUUGCGUGCGGGAGGCCGAGGUGCACGAACUGGGGUCCAAUCGGACCCAACNNNNNNNNNNNNNNNNNNNNNNNNNNNNNNNNNNNNNNNNNNNNNNNNNNNNNNNNNNNNNNNNNNNNNNNNNGGGGGGGUGGAUGGAAGAUGUCCAAAAGACAAUGCUAGGGUUUCGGCUGAGGUGCGGUUGAUGGGGCGGCAAGGGGUGAGGGCUGCUGUUGGAUCCGGGAGGAUCCAAUGAUGUUUAUGCAUGAUCUGCGUGUGUUAUUUUUGGACCAAUCAGAAUGCAAUAUAAUAUUAUGACCAUUUAAAUUGGUCGCAGUAGAUUUAAAUAUAAUAUGUUAAAUCAUGUUAGCUAUUUUCUUGACUUGAGAAAUUCGAACAAAUUGAAAAAAUGGAAAUCCUUCUCAUCAUGUCAUAAAAUGUGACCUAGUUUUAAGAAAAAAAUAAAUAACAAACUAGUAAUAAGACAAAUAUAUUUAAAAAAGUGUCCUUAGAAAUGCCUGUCAUACUUUUUUUCGAGUGUCUAGAAUGAUGUGGCACAAGAAUCAGCCCGGUCCGAUUCGACGUUUUACAUGGGCCAAGCCCAACAAUUCGGCAUUUUUACUGUAUAUUUUUUCUACUAAUUUUCUCUGGCUACACGGGCCUGUCCCAUCAAUUUGGCCUUUUUAUUAUCUAGGCAUGGCCUUUUGCGGUCCAUUUCAUUUUUAUUUUCAAGGGUUUUUUGCGGUCCAGUUUUUAGAUGGGUCCCAAUUGUCAGAUUUUUCCUAGCAGUGGAUCCACAUCACUUUUUAAGCAGUAUAUAUCAAACAGAAAGAAGAGAAUAAUUUGAAAAUCUUCGAAGAACAACCAAAAUAGGUUUAUUACAAUAUAUUAUGUACAUAAUAGAACAUGUGGAACUCCAUACAUUGGUUCACAUCACAACAACCAGUUUAACCUACAAAUGUUGCAUGCCCAGGAACAUAAAACUUCACGUACAUAACCAUACAAUAUUCCACACAAUCACAAAUAUUGCAAUUGAAAAAUAAAACGCUCUGCCAAGUUAAAGCUAUCUACUCUUGGAUACCACGGAACAUGCUCUUCAACAUAGGAAGAAGUCAUCAACGGUGUUCUACCAACAACACAAGCUCCAUUCACCUACAAGAACAGAAUGGAAUAUCAAGUACUUGGAUCGUUCAAGCAG